GAGUUUUGAUCCUGGCUCAGGAUGAACGCUAGCUACAGGCUUAACACAUGCAAGUCGAGGGGCAGCAUGGUCUUAGCUUGCUAAGGCUGAUGGCGACCGGCGCACGGGGUGAGUAACACGUAUCCAACCUGCCGUCUACUCUUUGGCCAGCCUUCUGAAAGGAAGAUUAAUCCAGGAUGGGAUCAUGAGUUCACAUGUCCGCAUGAUUAAAGGUAUUUUCCGGUAGACGAUGGGGAUGCGUUCCAUUAGAUAGUAGGCGGGGUAACGGCCCACCUAGUCAACGAUGGAUAGGGGUUCUGAGAGGAAGGUCCCCCACAUUGGAACUGAGACACGGUACCAAACUCCUACGGGAGGCAGCA
rnacentral:rRNA from 1 species